UAAGCCCUGCUCAGAAGUCAAGAGCAGCAGCGCCGCCGCUCCUUGCAGCCUUUCAUGCCGCAGGCGCUUCUUAUUCUUGUGUCUCGGCCUCUCUGGGCGCCCCGGGACAAAGCCCCCAGAACUCGGUCGCUCCCUUCCCGCUAAAUCCCCUUCGGGGUCAGUGCGCUACCAGCACAGGGCCGCACGCCUCUCCUGCUAGCCGUGUGGCUCUUAAAGAGCCCCACACCCCUCCGCCCCUCGUGCUCCUUCGACCCCCGCCACCCCUCCCCUCUCCUCCGGAUCUAGCCCCCCACGCCGACGCCUGAGGUCCUUGCUGCCCCGAC
ensembl:misc_RNA